rnacentral:misc_RNA from 1 species
AUUUUCCAAGUAAAUCACCAACCUGAUUCAGACAAAAGUCUCCGUGAAUUACUAAUUCUAUUACAACAACUAUCACUCUACAAGGGGGAAAGCAGUAGAGGAGGGUGACAAUACAGUACCAUUUUGUAAGUUUACAAAGUACAUUAAAUUUGAUACUAGAGCAUUCAAGUAUCACAGACUUGCCAAAUUACACAAUAAACAUGGUGCACUCAAACUUGAUCAAAA